UACGAAGGGUGCAAACGUUGCUCGGAAUUAUUGGGCGUAAAGCGCACGUAGGCGGCUUUGCAAGUCGGAUGUGAAAUCCCUCGGGCUUAACCAAGGAAGUGCAUCCGAAACUGCAGAGCUUGAGUACUUAAGAGGAUCGCGGAAUUCCCGGUGUAGAGGUGAAAUUCGUAGAUAUCGGGAGGAACACCGGUGGCGAAGGCGGGUCUCUGGGCCGUAACUGGACGCUAGGAGCGAAAGCGUGGGGAGCGAACAGG
rnacentral:rRNA from 1 species